rnacentral:rRNA from 1 species
GAGUUGUAAUUUGCAGAGGAUGUUAUGGAAUCUGUUUGGACUCAAGUCCUUUGGAAAAAGGCGCCAUGGAGAGUGACAGUCUCGUACUUUCCAAUACAUUUUCCAUGUAUAACUCCUUCAAAGAGUCGAGUUGUUUGGGAAUGCAGCUCUAAGUGGGACGUAAAUUUGUUCCAAAGCUAAAUACCGGCUAGAGACCGAUAGCGCACAAGUAGAGUGAUCGAAAGAUGAAAAGCACUUUGAAAAGAGAGUUAAAAAGCACGUGAAAUUGUUGAAAGGGAAGCUUAUGUCAUCAGAAAUGGUGUUGUUGUUCAGCCUUUUGGUGUAUUCAACGAUUGCCAGGCUAGCAUCAGUUUGGAUAGCUGGAUAAAAACUUGGAAAUGUAGCUCCUUCGGGAGUGUUAUAGUCCGGGGUAGAAUGCAGUUCAUUUAGACUGAGGACCGCUU